GACGAACGCUGGCGGCGUGCUUAACACAUGCAAGUCGAACGGAAAGGCCCUGCUUUUGCGGGGUGCUCGAGUGGCGAACGGGUGAGUAACACGUGAGUAACCUGCCCUUGACUUUGGGAUAACUUCAGGAAACUGGGGCUAAUACCGGAUAGGAGCUCCUGCUGCAUGGUGGGGGUUGGAAAGUUUCGGCGGUUGGGGGUGGACUCGCGGCUUAUCAGCUUGUUGGUGGGGUAGUGGCUUACCAAGGCUUUGACGGGUAGCCGGCCUGGGAGGGUGACCGGCCACAUUGGGACUGAGAUACGGCCCAGACUCCUACGGGAGGCAGCAGUGGGGAAUAUUGCACAAUGGGCGGAAGCCUGAUGCAGCAACGCCGCGUGCGGGAUGACGGCCUUCGGGUUGUAAACCGCUUUCGCCUGUGACGAAGCGUGAGUGACGGUAAUGGGUAAAGAAGCACCGGCUAACUACGUG
rnacentral:rRNA from 1 species